UGUGGAGAAGGAAACGGCUCCCCCAGGCCACCAUAGAUAAAGGGAUUCUAAGGGGAUACCCCCCCCACUAGGUCCUAGAUGCGGCCCAGACUCUCCGGGAAGCAGCGGAACGGAUUUGGGACAAUGGUGGGAAAAUGAUCCAGCCAUCCCGCGGGCAGGAAGACGGCCUUAUGCGUUGUACAACUGCUUUGCAGGGGAAGAAUAAGGACUAUGUGUAGUUUGAUGACGGUACUCUGAGAAUGAGCAUCGGCUAAUUCCGUGCCAGCAGCCGCGGUAAUACGGAGGAUGCGAGCGUUAUCCGGAAUCAUUGGGUUUAAAGGGUCCGCAGGCGGGCUAAUAAGUCAGAGGUGAAAGCGCUCAGCUCAACUGAGCAACUGCCUUUGAAACUCUUAGUCUUGAAUGGUUGUGAAGUAGUUGGAAUGUGUAGUGUAGCGGGGAAAUGCUUAGAUAUUACACAGAACACCGAUAGCGAAGGCCUAUUACUAACAAUUAAUUGACGGUGAUGGCCGAAAGCGUGGGGAGCGAACAGG
rnacentral:rRNA from 1 species